CCUACGGGGGGCAGCAGUGGGGAAUAUUGGACAAUGGGGGGAACCCUGAUCCAGCCAUGCCGCGUGUGUGAAGAAGGCCCUCGGGUUGUAAAGCACUUUCAGUGAGGAAGAACGCCUGGUGGUUAAUACCCAUCAGGAAAGACAUCACUCACAGAAGAAGCACCGGCUAACUCCGUGCCAGCAGCCGCGGUAAUACGGAGGGUGCGAGCGUUAAUCGGAAUUACUGGGCGUAAAGCGCGCGUAGGUGGCUUGAUAAGCCGGUUGUGAAAGCCCCCGGCUCAACCUGGGAACGGCAUCCGGAACUGUCAAGCUAGAGUGCAGGAGAGGAAGGUAGAAUUCCCGGUGUAGCGGUGAAAUGCGUAGAGAUCGGGAGGAAUACCAGUGGCGAAGGCGGCCUUCUGGACUGACACUGACACUGAGGUGCGAAAGCGUGGGUAGCAAACAGGAUUAGAUACCCCAGUAGUC
rnacentral:rRNA from 1 species